AAAUCCGGUUCACUUUAACACUGAGGCGUGACGACGAGGCACUACGGUGCUGAAGCAACAAAUGCCCUGCUUCCAGGAAAAGCCUCUAAGCAUCAGGUAACAUCAAAUCGUACCCCAAACCGACACAGGUGGUCAGGUAGAGAAUACCAAGGCGCUUGAGAGAACUCGGGUGAAGGAACUAGGCAAAAUGGUGCCGUAACUUCGGGAGAAGGCACGCUGACACGUAGGUGAAGUGAUUUACUCAUGGAGCUGAAGUCAGUCGAAGAUACCAGCUGGCUGCAACUGUUUAUUAAAAACACAGCACUGUGCAAACACGAAAGUGGACGUAUACGGUGUGACGCCUGCCCGGUGCCGGAAGGUUAAUUGAUGGGGUCAGCGCAAGCGAAGCUCCUGAUCGAAGCCCCGGUAAACGGCGGCCGUAACUAUAACGGUCCUAAGGUAGCGAAAUUCCUUGUCGGGUAAGUUCCGACCUGCACGAAUGGCGUAAUGAUGGCCAGGCUGUCUCCACCCGAGACUCAGUGAAAUUGAACUCGCUGUGAAGAUGCAGUGUACCCGCGGCAAGACGGAAAGACCCCGUGAACCUUUACUAUAGCUUGACACUGAACAUUGAGCCUUGAUGUGUAGGAUAGGUGGGAGGCUUUGAAGUGUGGACGCCAGUCUGCAUGGAGCCGACCUUGAAAUACCACCCUUUAAUGUUUGAUGUUCUAACGUGGACCCGUUACCCGGGUUGCGGACAGUGUCUGGUGGGUAGUUUGACUGGGGCGGUCUCCUCCUAAAGAGUAACGGAGGAGCACGAAGGUUGGCUAAUCCUGGUCGGACAUCAGGAGGUUAGUGCAAUGGCAUAAGCCAGCUUGACUGCGAGCGUGACGGCGCGAGCAGGUGCGAAAGCAGGUCAUAGUGAUCCGGUGGUUCUGAAUGGAAGGGCCAUCGCUCAACGGAUAAAAGGUACUCCGGGGAUAACAGGCUGAUACCGCCCAAGAGUUCAUAUCGACGGCGGUGUUUGGCACCUCGAUGUCGGCUCAUCACAUCCUGGGGCUGAAGUAGGUCCCAAGGGUAUGGCUGUUCGCCAUUUAAAGUGGUACGCGAGCUGGGUUUAGAACGUCGUGAGACAGUUCGGUCCCUAUCUGCCGUGGGCGCUGGAGAACUGAGGGGGGCUGCUCCUAGUACGAGAGGACCGGAGUGGACGCAUCACUGGUGUUCGGGUUGUCAUGCCAAUGGCACUGCCCGGUAGCUAAAUGCGGAAGAGAUAAGUGCUGAAAGCAUCUAAGCACGAAACUUGCCCCGAGAUGAGUUCUCCCUGAGACUUAAAGUCUCCUGAAGGAACGUUGAAGACGACGACGUUGAUAGGCCGGGUGUGUAAGCGCAGCGAUGCGUUGAGC
rnacentral:rRNA from 1 species